CUUUUAUUCUUAAAUAAUAUAAAAUAUCUAGAGUUUUAUAAAAGGAAAAUAGAAUUUCCAAUGUACGGGUAAAAUUGGUUGAUCUUGGAAGGAAUUACAAAGGCGAAAGGCAAUUUUCUUUAUAAUAACUGACGCUGAGAAGCGAAAGCGUAGGGAGCAAACAGGAUUAGAGACCCUGGUAGUCUACGCCGUAAACGAUGCAUUCUUAACAAAAUAAAACUUUUCGGAGUUUUAUAUAGUUUAAGCUAACGCAAAGAAUGCCGCCUGGAGAGUACGACCGCAAGGUUGAAAUUCAAAGGAAUUGACGGGAGCCAAUAAGAGCAGUGGAACAUGCGGUUUAAUUCGAUAAUACGCGAAAACCUUACCAAUUUUUGACAUAUUUAAACAAUAACGGGUGUUGCAUGGUU
rnacentral:rRNA from 1 species